ensembl:lncRNA
UCUCUUUUUUUCUUUUAGAUUUGGGGCUCUUGAAACAUUCUGAGUAUGUUUGCGGGGGGUCCCAGAGGAGUUGUCCUGAAAGCUGCUCGGAGCAGCCACCUUUGCUGUCGCCCAGGCCUUGCCGGGUCGGCUCUGGCCGGCUGUCUGUGCUGCGGCUCCCGAGGCACCCCACCCCCGUCGGCCUCCUGCAACCAGGGAACCUGGUCCUGGCCGCUGGCGGAGCCGAGGGCCUCGAGCCUGGGUACUGGGAGGCCAGACCCUGCCCGCCAGAGGUGCACACAGCCUGGGUGCCCCCGGCUCGGUGUCUCACUGGCCAAGAAGCCGAGCUCCUUUGCAGCGGGUGUCAGCAACUUUAGAAACAGCAAACUCUUCAGCGAAGCCCCCUCCCCACGCACUGAGCUCGCGGCUCUGCUACAGACGCGGGUUUAGGCGCCUUUCACAUACACUACUCACGUUUUCCGAGAAAAUGGGGAGAGGAGCACAUUAAAGAAAGGUGGGGGGGGGAUACUGCAACACUUUCAAGAAAAACUAGGGGUGGGGUGGGAAGGGAGUUUAGAAAGGCUGUCUGUAACAGCCCAGCUGCCAAAUCCCUGGCUGUUCUGAAAAGGAAGAAGGAGAGAAGCAGGCGGGAAAGGACUCCCUUCCUCCUCCCAGCCAUCUCCCUCUCAGCGCCCCCAGCCCAGGACACCCGGGCUGGGAACCCGAGAGUGUGCUCCUAGGAAGACAUCAGCCCUUCCGCCUCCAGCUCAGCCCAGGUGGGCAAGAAAGCGCGGGAGACUCGAGAAAGCUGUUACGGUCUCCCGCGGCGCCCUUGACCCCUGAGAGCCCCACACAGGAAAGGCAGCUGAGGGACUUCUCUACUCACAGGUCGCAGCCCCUGCCCGAGACUUCCUGGGAAGCAACCCGCAACGCCCACAGCAUUGGCCUCCUUUCCCCGACUCCUUGGAGAUUGGUCUGCGGCUUGAGUCCGGCUGCAGACACCCACUCCGGCCCUUAGAUUAGACCUGCCUUGGGCGUGGACGCCAAGGUGCGGUACCGAGGCCCCAAGCUGCGCCGAGGCUGGCGAGUUUCUGCCUGGGUCGGGAGAGGGGGUCCCAACAGCGGAGCCCGCUGCAGUCUGGUGACACCUACUGCGCCUCGCACUGCCUCCACGACGGCCCUUGGCCUGCGGAGAAGGAGGCAAGGGCAAGAUGCUCCGUGGCGGGUCAAACCUUCGCCCCUUUAUCUCCUACCAUGCUUUUCAUGUCCAUAUCUUUGUUAGUUAGGUGUAUGACUGCUAUAUUCCAGCGGCUUAUCCUACAUAAAAUACCCCACGGCUUGGGCGAGACUUUGCAAAUUUGGCAUCCCAGGUGAGCGGUCUUGAGUAUUCUGUGCCCUAUCCACCCACCUCGCCCGUGGGUACUCAGGGCAGCGCCCACUUGGCAGAACUGAUGGCCGUUCAGGCCUAGCAGAGUGCGCAUCGCCAAACCUGCACGUCCAAAAUGCAUCCUCGCCUCGCCGGAACGCUGAGCCGCGCAACUCUAAAGGAGCCCGCAUUCCGGAGCACGUGCAAGCAUCCUCCCGCUUUGAAAUGAAUUCGCGCUGCGUCUUUCAUCCCCAAAGGAAAAGCCUUUGGGGCGCUACUCAGACCGAAGACCUGGGAGAGAGAAGUCCCGAAGGCGGGGACCAGGGGCUUGGGCACUCUUCUGCUCACCUGGACUUGAGACACUCGAAGGCCCGAUUAACCAUCGGUUGUAUCAGGGCCGAUGGGUUCAAAGUGGCUGCGCCUCGCGGAGGCGCUCACUCCCCGGGUCCGGGUCUCCGAGGGCAUCUGGAAUCUGGGUGGGUUGUGCUGACUACCUGCAGCGCGCGCGGAUCCCAGGCCAGGAAAAAGGGCGCCGUGUAACGGGGACGGUCGGUUACCUCUCCAGGGAUCUGCCCUGACUUUGUUCGUAAUUUAAGAAGCCUCUGAACUCGGGGAGCGCUUGUUGGGGCACCUCCCUGCACACACACGCCCCCUCCUUCCCGGGCCUCGUAUCUUUCCCUCCACUCUCCCGUUCCCCCCACCCCCAACCCCGCGGCCCCGCCCGUUAGAGGCGCGCAGCGGGCACUCGGUUUACAGAGCCGCCGGUUCAGAUGUUUAUUCGCAGCUAAUUGCUGGUGCAGGAAAAUGCUUGCUACCCCGGCCGAGCGCUUCCGCCCUGUGCUGGCCGAUCCCGCCGGCGGCAGCUCGCUGAUCCCACCCGCGAAGCCACGGAGGAACCGGCGGCAGGGAGGCGGCUGUGCCACCCUGGGCCGGGCUACCGGCGCUGCCCCGGACUCCCGGUAGGGGGAGCCGCCGCGGGCACCAGGCCAGCCCGGCUCCAGGCCUCAGGUCGGCCCUGCUGCCAGCAGCCACCCGGAACGCAGAACGUGGGCGGCCUCCUCACCUGCCCUCCAGGUGCGUGCGGCCAGCAGAGAAGGGAACACAGGGCCGAGCCGGCUCCUCGUUCCCGGCUGUUGCAUCGCAAAGAAGCUACGCGAGACCUAAGUGCAUUCUUUAGGUCCAAAUAUAGUUAGGAAAAUUGGUAGGUAAGGAGAUCACCUCCUUUGCCCAUGCCUCUUAACACCAGUGAUUAAGAAUUCCUCUUAAUUCCACAAAUUUUGAGGCUUAUUUUAAAAAUUUUAGAUGAUCUAAUCCCUUCUCACUGUGUUUCCGAGUCAUUUAUUUCCAGGAGUUUCAGAUGGUCCCAGCACAAAAUAGGAGCUCAGAGGAGACCAGCUGGCUUUGCUGCCGGAUCACCGACCACUCCUCUCCCUUUCUGACUCUAUGUGCUCAAUAAAGGUUCCGCAGCUUUCAUUUUAAGAGAUGGCCAAUGUUGAGAGAGCAACCCUAACCCAGGGUCAAGGGGAAAGCAGCUAGGCGGACUGUGACCCCACAGGGCACCCCCCCCCCCAAAGGGCCCGGCGCAGCAGCACACCUAUGCUGAAGGGCCGGAGACUUCCGGCUCGCUACUCCCACAGAUGAAACAUGCAAGCCCUCCUUCUACAGAAACUCGUCCUUCCAGAGCAAGCCCCAACUCAUGAGAGCUCUCUUAAGGCCGAGUCCUUAAAGUCUCUCCACAGAGAAUUACAAAAGCAAAGAAUUUCACACUUGGAAGGAAACUUAAAGACCAUCUAGCUCAACUGAUGUAGUUUGCUGGCGAGGAACUUAAGCUGAGUGGAGGCAAAGAAUCACACUUCAGAUUCUUCCCUGCGCUGUGUUCUUCUGGCUCCACUGAGAGCACCCGCCGCCCCAGAAGGGGGCAGUGAAAAAGCAGAGCGUUCAGAAGCCACAAUGCCAAGCCAUUCUCUUCACUUACCUGGAAGACCAGUCGCAAAACUAGGGGACUCUGCUUGAAGCCUCAAAGGAGCUGUGUCUCCAGGCUUUAGCAAAAGCAGAGCAGAUUGUAGGAGUUACCGCCAAAGACCCACUUCUCCCUCCUGCGGCUUUGUGUCUCUCCCGAAUGAUUUCUUGAAGUCCACGCACUAAGCCAAGUCAGGCUGGCUGGCAGGCUCCUCAGAUGCCUGGCCUACCGUUGUCUUUGACUUGAGAUGUGGGUAUUAAAAUGCAGAGUUGUGAGGCCCAGGAAGAGAAUGUCAGAAGGGAAACACCCAAGACGCUGUUCUAUCUGGUUGUCUCUUUGAUUCAAUGUUUUGUCCUUUGUGAGCUCUGCCUAGAUAUUUACAUCAGUUGGAAACAUUCAAACAAUAAAAUUUCAAUGACCUUGCAGACCGUGUCCACUCCCACAAACCAAACACAAAUUGAUUGCUUUUUACCAAUCAAUUUUCUACUGCAGCUUAAGGGAAGACGCCACCAACAUCCAGGGAACCCCGGUCCUGAGAUGAAAACCCUCGGGCUCUUUGGGUUAUUAUAAACUAAAGCCGAACUAUGGAGCCGGAGGUAUUCACUCCCUCACUCUUCCCCCCCGUCCUGAAAAACAGCCAUUUGUUUUUAUUGCUUCUAUAGAUAUUUUUAGUCCUAGGAAAGGAAGAAGGAAAAGAAAAAGGGGAUGGAUCUGGAGAAUAGCCACCCAACUGGAUUGGCUGAAAGGCUCAGGCUUCUGCUGACAUCCGGGACCUCAAAACACAGGUCAAAGGACCAUUUCAAUUCAACCAAUAUACUGAGAAGCUUCUGGUUCAUCUAUUGCUCAGCUACCCUCCAUCUCAAGGAAUAAUGAAAACACCUACAAAAAUAAUAGCUAUGAAUGUUACUAGGCACUUUACAUGCAUUGUCUCAUUUAAUCCUAAAACAAUACUAUGAGAUAGAUACUAUUCUCAUCUGCAUUUCACUUUCAAAAGUGAGUUCAGAAAGGUUAAAUAAUUGGCACAAGGUCACACAGCUAAUUAGGAGUGGGGAUCAACCAGAAGAUCUGAGCUACUGGGACCUUCUAUCUAGUUCUGCCAUGAGCCUAAUAGUGAGAAGUCAGAGAUGAGAUUUUCUGCAUAUGACCUUGUUUAAAGGCACCAUUUAGCAAUCAUUUUGAAGUGUGCUUUCAGGCCAGGAACUGCUCCAGGCACAUUAAAAAAUGACAUCCUGUGCGCCCUCUCAGAACUUCCAAUCUAAGAUCAACUGUUAACAGAACCACCUCCUGCUUGACCACACAGACGACGGACGAAAUACAUGGGUAAGCAAACAGAUUUUACAGCCAAGUGUACAAUGACACAAGUUGUUGUUCUGGAGUGACAACCACAGAGGAGUAGCCUAUUUAGAAAUUCAAGCUCAGAGGAGGUGUGAUCACCAUCUCACCUAUGACAUUUAGGCCUGUUUCUUGGAGAAAGGGGUACCUCUGAUGCUGAUGGAACUGAGACAAAUGAACAGAGCUGUCCACAAUGGCGGGGGAAGGAACCUGGUGUAGACAAUGAAGUUCACAAUCUGCUAAAGACAUAAGAUGGUCUCACCAGGGUAGGGGUCAGAACAGCCGACAGGAGUCACAUGAGGGUGAUUGGCUGGCAAGUCAGGGCAAAGGCGACAUUUUCCAAGCCCACAUAGUCAGCUUGUUACUGAUGCCCCAAAUCCUCCCAUUAGCUUUUUAUUUCUUUGUAUUCAUGAUUACCAUCCCUAUGAAAUCCUCCGUCAAAUAUUUUGUAGGAAAGUGGACACAGUGGUUUGACACAUAUUAAAUCAUUCAGCUAAGAUGUGGCUAAAGUUCUCAAAAUAUAAUUAUCAAUAGAUUACCUAUUAUGUGUUUAGAACUAUGCUAGAUGGUAUGAGAAUAGGUGGGAAUUUAUAAGAGCUCACUCUUGUCCUCAAAGAACUUGGAAUUCAUUGAAGAGACAAGAUUCACUCAGGUGAAAUAGGUGGCAAGAGCUAAAAGGGCAUCACGGAUUUUCCAAGGGGUGUGGUACAGACAAAUACAACGUCAUAGAAGGGAUAGAGAA